rnacentral:pre_miRNA from 1 species
GUAAUACUUCUUCCGUCUUAAAUUUUUUGUCUUAUAUUUUUUUGAUAUAAAUGUAUCUAGUCAUUUAGUUUUUAGAUACCUUCAUUUCUAAACAAAGUUAAGACAAGAAUUUUGAAACGGAGGGAGUACUCC